rnacentral:rRNA from 1 species
AGAGCGAACGCUGGCGGCAGGCUUAACACAUGCAAGUCGAGCGGGCGUAGCAAUACGUCAGCGGCAGACGGGUGAGUAACGCGUGGGAACGUACCUUUUGGUUCGGAACAACACAGGGAAACUUGUGCUAAUACCGGAUAAGCCCUUACGGGGAAAGAUUUAUCGCCAAAAGAUCGGCCCGCGUCUGAUUAGCUAGUUGGUGAGGUAACGGCUCACCAAGGCGACGAUCAGUAGCUGGUCUGAGAGGAUGAUCAGCCACAUUGGGACUGAGACACGGCCCAAACUCCUACGGGAGGCAGCAGUGGGGAAUAUUGGACAAUGGGCGCAAGCCUGAUCCAGCCAUGCCGCGUGAGUGAUGAAGGCCUUAGGGUUGUAAAGCUCUUUCACACGCGACGAUGAUGACGGUAGCGUGAGAAGAACGCCCCGGCUAACGUUCGCGCCAGCAGCCGC